AACGGCUCAGUAACACGUGGACAAUCUAACCUACGGAAGAGGAUAACCCCGGGAAACUGGGGAUAAUACUCUAUAGACUAUGGAUGCUGGAAUGCUUCGUAGUCGAAAGGUCCGCCGCCGUAGGAUGGGUCUGCGGCCGAUUAGGUUGUUGUUGGGGUAACGGCCCAACAAGCCUGUAAUCGGUACGGGUUGUGGGAGCAAGAGCCCGGAGAUGGAUUCUGAGACACGAAUCCAGGCCCUACGGGGCGCAGCAGGCGCGAAAACUUUACAAUGCGGGAAACCGUGAUAAGGGAACUCCGAGUGCCCGUAAAAUCGGGCUGUCCAUCAGUGUAAAUAACUGGUGAAGAAAGGGCCGGGCAAGACCGGUGCCAGCCGCCGCGGUAAUACCGGCGGCUCGAGUGGUGGCCACUAUUACUGGGCUUAAAGCGUUCGUAGCUGGUUUGUUAAGUCUCUGGGGAAAUCUUCCGGCUUAACCGGAAGGCGUCUCAGGGAUACUGGCAGACUAGGGACCGGGAGAGGUGAGGGGUACUCCAGGGGUAGGAGUGAAAUCCUGUAAUCCUUGGGGGACCACCUGUGGCGAAGGCGCCUCACCAGAACGGCUCCGACAGUGAGGGACGAAAGCUGGGGGAGCAAACCGGAUUAGAUACCCGGGUAGUCCCAGCCGUAAACGAUGCGCGUUAGGUGUAUCGGUGACCACGAGUCACCGAGGUGCCGAAGAGAAAUCGUGAAACG
rnacentral:rRNA from 1 species